UUAUUUGCGGAUGUAGCAUCAACAAGAUUCACAUACAAAUGCAGGUAGGUGGAAUCUAAUGCAAUCUUAGGUCUCUGCUAUGCCAUAGGUCUUUUGAGGUGAGAAUCUUGAUGAUGCUGCAUCAGCCAUAAA